GACGAACGCUGGCGGCGUGCCUAAUACAUGCAAGUCGAGCGCAGGAAACUGACGGAACUCUUCGGAGGGAAGGCAGUGGAAUGAGCGGCGGACGGGUGAGUAACACGUAAGGAACCUGCCUCAAGGAUUGGGAUAACUCCGAGAAAUCGGAGCUAAUACCGGAUAGUUCAACGGACCGCAUGGUCCGCUGAUGAAAGGCGCUCCGGCGUCACCUUGAGAUGGCCUUGCGGUGCAUUAGCUAGUUGGUGGGGUAACGGCCCACCAAGGCGACGAUGCAUAGCCGACCUGAGAGGGGGAUCGGCCACACUGGGACUGAGACACGGCCCAGACUCCGACGGGAGGCAGCAGUAGGGAAUCUUCCACAAUGGACGAAAGUCUGAUGGAGCAACGCCGCGUGAGUGAUGAAGGUUUUCGGAUCGUAAAACUCUGUUGUAAGGGAAGAACACGUACGAGAGGGAAUGCUCGUACCUUGACGGUACCUUACGAGAAAGCCACGGCUAACUACGUGCCAGCCGCCGCCGUAAAAC
rnacentral:rRNA from 1 species